ACAUGCAGUCGUACGGCAACAUGUUGCCAGCUAUCUAAACCGGUGGCGAGUGGCGCUCGGCUGAGUAACGCGUAUGUAACCUACCCUUCUCCGGGAAUAACUCCGCGAAAGCGGUGCUAAUAUCCCAUACCAACUCAUCAAGACAUCUUCUUGAGUUGAAAGCAGCAAUGCGGUGAAGGAUGGGCAUGCCUCCCAUUAGCUGGUUGGUGAGGUAAUGGCCCACCAAGGCUACGAUGGGUAGGGGUUCUGAAAGGAAAGCCCCCCCCACUGGUACUGAGACACGGACCAUACUCCUACGGGAGGCAACUCUAAGGAAUAUUGGCCAAUGGUCGAAAGACUGACCCCGCCAUGCCACGUGCAGGAUGAAGGCCCUAUGGGUUGUAAACUGCUUUUAGC
rnacentral:rRNA from 1 species